rnacentral:rRNA from 1 species
GAUGAACGCUGGCGGCGUGCCUAAUACAUGCAAGUAGAACGCUGAAGGAAGGAGCUUGCUCUUUCCGGAUGAGUUGCGAACGGGUGAGUAACGCGUAGGUAACCUGCCUGGUAGCGGGGGAUAACUAUUGGAAACGAUAGCUAAUACCGCGUAACAGUAGAUAUUGCAUGAUAUCUGCUUGAAAGGGGCAAUUGCUCCACUACCAGAUGGACCUGCGUUGUAUUAGCUAGUUGGUGAGGUAACGGCUCACCAAGGCGACGAUACAUAGCCGACCUGAGAGGGUGAUCGGCCACACUGGGACUGAGACACGGCCCAGACUCCUACGGGAGGCAGCAGUAGGGAAUCUUCGGCAAUGGACGGAAGUCUGACCGAGCAACGCCGCGUGAGUGAAGAAGGUUUUCGGAUCGUAAAGCUCUGUUGUAAGAGAAGAACGAGUGUGAGAGUGGAAAGUUCACACUGUGACGGUAUCUACCA